GAACAACCAAAGAGUAGAGAACACGUCUGCGGGCAAAAGCAGAGAUAAGCAAAGAAAAAAGAGAAAGAUACAUUUUGGAAAGAAAGAAGACGUGCUCUACAAAAUAGGGAAGAUAAAUAGAUAUUUCACAAUGCACACUGCACUGAUUAUCACUUUUAUGACUUCAUUUUUAGAAGCUACAACAUACAAUGUCUAUAAAUCGGUUCUUUUUGAUAAGGAACAAAUUUAUUAUGAAGAUCCCAUAGUGAUCAACAAGACUCUAGAAAAUGAAACAACGGAAUUAGGGAUUUAUAAUUUUUUUGUAACGUGGCCGAGAUUGUUUCUCAUUUCUUUUGUCAUCACUUUUGGCGUAUCUUGGUAUUGUUGGUACAGUGUUUGUUCACACCUUUGGUACCAAGACAGACAGAGGACACUAAAGGGGAUUCUGCUUUGUAUAUUUUUUCCUUGUGCGUUUUUUUCAUCCCUGUGGCGCAGAAUUAUGGAAUUAAGAAGACCGCCCGUAAAUAAUGAAAAUUGAUUGGAAGUAAUAUGUACAGCAAGGAAUAUUAAUCCACGUCCAGGACAACAGAUGAAUAAUCUUGAAUCAAAACUAUUUAGUGUAGAUUGAUGAAAAAAUGAUCAUCAUAGUUUUAUACUCAUAUAUAUUAUUUAUAUUAGUGGAUAUAUAUGUAUACAGAAUAAGAAGUUUUGACACAGCCGAAGUACGAAGAUAAGUUGGGUUAUUUUAUGAACCAAAAGAUCAUACAUCAUUUUGCAAAAUUCGCAAUAUUUGAGUUGAUUAAGUAAUUUAUGUGAGUUAAUAAACACGUGGAAAGAAAUGAUGAAAGAUUUUCAGUUAUAGUGCCGUAAAAAUCAGUUGAUCGUAACACACGUGCCGCUUGUUUAUUUGUUCCCAUCUGUCGCUGUUAGGAAAAGAAAUUUGCAUGAGGUAAAAUAUUUUUUUUUAUAAUCCGAAAUUACACACGCCUAUAGAAUCUAAACUGUUGCUUUCCAUUUUCGACUAUAUAACAUUUAAUCUUUUAUCCAACUUUUUAUUAACUCGACGACGAUUUGGCGCGUAUAAAAAAUUUUGUCAAAAAAGACACGCGUGAAAAAAAUUCUGUUCUACGUCAAAAAUCUGUUCUACACGACUCACCUUUCUUUCAAAUGUUUACUUAAUUCAGAAAUAUGUUAAUUUUAGUUGUAUGUGUCAUUCUGUGCCAGCAUAUUGUUACGGUUUUGUUUGCUGAUAGCAAACAAAAUUUGUACGUCACAAAUAGAUGACGGAUGCUGGGUGCUGAAAAUUUUUUGAGAAAAUUAGUAAUUUGUUUUCUCUUUCGCAGAUAUUGUUUUUGCACAAUAUCAACAUGUAACAACAAUUUCUUUUUAUAUUCGUUAUUUGAAUCUGUUUUUUUAAGCUUUUAUGAAUUCGAGAAAGAAAUUUGAGUCGUGAAAGAUUUCUGUUGUCGUAAUUAUUGUAAUUAUUUCAUUAUCAGAUCUCAACACUAUGAUUAUAUAUUUAAGUAAAAUUGGAAACAAUUAAUUCAAUUUUUGAGAAUCACGACUAAAUCGCGUCGAGCAAUUCAACUUUCAAUUCAUUCUUUUCUGAAUAGAUUAAAAGUAUUUACGAAUUUUGAAAUUCAUUUAAUAAACUUUAUACACAUAAAAUUAUGAUCAAAAUUAGGUGACUGAGAGAAAUGCAAAAAAAAAAAAAAUACCUACUACCAACAAAGAAGAAAACAUCCUUGCAAUCCGUCUUGUCACAGUAUCAUAUAAGUAGCUUCUAUAUAAAAAUAUAUAUUAUCUUAGAAAAGACUACUUACAUCUCUAUGUACAUUAUUUAGUCACAAAUAGAAUAGUUUUGCAAUGUGAAAAGCAAGAUGCAUCUGUUGUUUUCUUUUUUGCUUUUAAAUAUUGAUUAAAAAUUCUCGCAUAUAUAGAAACAUUUCGUAUCUUCUAUCUAAUAUUUUGCUAAACUCGGCGAUGAUUUGGCACGAUACAAGAAAUUUACGGACACGCGCGGAAACGAUUCGUAAAAUGAUUGCAAGGUAAAAGCUUUCUGCACACAAUACGUUAGAUUGAGGUAUAUGUCGUUGAGUUUCUUUCCCGAUUGUGACCCUAUAUCAUCUCUGAGUUUGCUCUUUUUUGCCAAAAUAUAAGUAUAAAUAUAUUACAUAUAUAUUACAUGCGUAUACGCACGCGCGCAUUUUGUUUUUUGUCGAAAUACUCCGGCAUUGUAGAUUUGAGAUCAUCUAAGAGCUCUUUAAGGCCUUGUCUUCGGCCGCGCUCCAUCUCAUUGUGUAGUUUUUUUUUAUGCUCAAUAUCAUAUUGAGCACUUGUUGUAAAUAUAUUGUUUAUAAGAGGAUAAGAUGGGGCAGAUUGGGUUCUUGCCCCUUUAAAAAAUGUUUUAUUAUUGAAGUCACUAUGCGUAGACUUCCGUGGUCUACCACGUGAUCUUUUUUUUACCUGCGGUGGAUUUCUACGUAUUGAAAUAUCUGCGUAGGAUUCGAUGUCUACGUCAGUAUCUGCAACAGAGAAUCGAGGCAUUUCCUCAGUCACACAAUUUUCAUCAAAUAAUAUUUAAAAAAUAAUAGAACUAAAUUCAAAUGAGAGAGAUUUGACAAACGCGGGGUCUCUCGCCGAACUUGUAGUUUCGGAAACGCAUCCACUAAUAGAUUAGCACGGGUUAAGAUAUUGUUAAUGUGAUUGUCAAGAAAUAAUCAAAGAAUAGUAAAGGAAUAAGAGAGCUAAGUAAGAUCAAAGAAUCGCUCACCUGAAUUAAUUAAUAACUCAAUAAAUAUAUUGCAAAUUUAGCAAAAUGAUAAAUGGCUUUCCGUUUAGAUUAACCCAAUCUAUUUUCACACUUCGACUGUGUCGAAAUUGUUCAAACGCUUUUUAGUUAGUUAGUUAGUUAGUUUAUUAUACCUUCCUGCCUACCGGCUUUGAAGGGGACUUGGUUACAUUUCUUACAAUUUUCUUACAAUUUACUUUUUAUAUAUAUCUUAUCCUAUUACAUAUCUCAUUUUUGCGAACGCCUGUUAUUUUUAUUACCCUUCCUGCUCUGUCUAGACUCAAACGCUUUUUAUAAAUAUAUACAUAUGUGCAUUUAUACAAUAUACAUAUGAUUACAUAUGUCUCUACAUAUGUAAUCAUACGUUUGUCGAACAUGUAUAGCAAUCUCGCAAGAGAACAACGCGAACGAUAAAUAUGUAUUAUCUCUGUAUCUAUUCUUAAACUUGUUAUGUACAUAAGACGUAUUCUUGUAAUGUAAUGCACGAAAAUUUAUAUCACAUGUCAUUAUGUUGUCAUAUUAUGUA